rnacentral:rRNA from 1 species
GAAUAUUGGACAAUGGGGGGAACCCUGAUCCAGCCAUGCCGCGUGUGUGAAGAAGGCCUUUUGGUUGUACAGCACUUUAAGCGAGGAGGAGGCUACUCUAGCUAAUACCUAGGGACAGGGGACGUUACUCGCAGAAUAAGCAACGGCUAACUCUGUGCCAGCAGCCGCGGUAAUACAGAGGGUUCAAGCGUUAAUCGGAUUUACUGGGCGUAAAGCGCGCGUAGGUGGCCAAUUAAGUCAAAUGUGAAAUCACCGAGCUUAACUUGGGAAUUGCAUUCGAUACUGGUUGGCUAGAGUAUGGGAGAGGAUGGUAGAAUUCCAGGUGUAGCGGUGAAAUGCGUAGAGAUCUGGAGGAAUACCGAUGGCGAAGGCAGCCAUCUGGCCUAAUACUGACACUGAGGUGCGAAAGCAUGGGGAGCAAACAG